AUGUCAAUGCUUAUAGGGAUUGUAGUAGUAGUCACCAUUCACGUGUGUGGAGUCUACCGGUGGUACAGGAAUGAUGACCUUGUUAGACCUUUGGUGAUGCUUCCUCCAAAAGAAGUAUCACCAUUCUGGCAUGCUAUAUUUUUCAUUGCGGUGAAUGAUACAACGGUCCGGCAAGCUGCUAUGGUGGUCAAGUGUGUGCUGCCUAGGAAAAUAGAUAUUUAG
rnacentral:rRNA from 1 species